rnacentral:rRNA from 1 species
UACGAAGGGGACUAGCGUUGUUCGGAUUUACUGGGCGUAAAGCGCGCGUAGGCGGAUCGCUAAGUCAGGGGUGAAAUCCCAGGGCUCAACCCUGGAACUGCCUUUGAUACUGACGAUCUGGAGAUCGGGAGAGGUUGGUGGAAUUCCGAGUGUAGAGGUGAAAUUCGUAGAUAUUCGGAGGAACACCAGAAGCGAAGGCGGCCAACUGGCCCGAGACUGACGCUGAGGCGCGAAAGCGUGGGGAGCAAACAGG